rnacentral:rRNA from 1 species
CCUACGGGUGACAGCAGUGAGGAAUAUUGGUCAAUGGGCGCGAGCCUGAACCAGCCAAGCCGCGUGAAGGAAGACUGCCCCACGGGUCGUAAACUUCUUUUAUAAAGGAAUAAAGUGAGGCACGUGUGCCGUUUUGUAUGUACUUUAUGAAUAAGCAUCGGCUAACUCCGUGCCAGCAGCCGCGGUAAUACGGAGGAUCCGAGCGUUAUCCGGAUUUAUUGGGUUUAAAGGGUGCGUAGGUGGGUUGGUAAGUCAGGUGUGAAAGUUUGCGGCUCAACCGUAAGAGUGCAAUUGAAACUGGCGGCCUUGAGAAGAGUAGAGGUAGGCGGAAUUCGCGGUGUAGCGGUGAAAUGCUUAGAUAUCACGAAGAACUCCGAUUGCGAAGGCAGCUUAC